CCCAGACUCCUACGGGAGGCAGCAGUGGGGGAUAUUGCACAAUGGGGGGAACCCUGAUGCAGCGACGCCGCGUGGGUGAAGGAGCGUUUCGGCGCGUAAAGCCCUAUCGGCAGGGAAGAAGGAGGACGGUACCUGACUAAGAAGCCCUGGCUAACUACGUGCCAGCAGCCGCGGUAAUACGUAGGGGGCAAGCGUUAUCCGGAUUUACUGGGUGUAAAGGGGGCGCAGACGGCAGCGCAAGCCAGGAGUGAAAGCCCGGGGCCCAACCCCGGGACUGCUCUUGGAACUGCGCGGCUGGAGUGCAGGAGGGGCAGGCGGAAUUCCUGGUGUAGCGGUGAAAUGCGUAGAUAUCAGGAGGAACACCGGUGGCGAAGGCGGCCUGCUGGACUGCGACUGACGUUGAGGCCCGAAAGCGUGGGGAGCAAACAGGAUUAGAUACCCUGGUAA
rnacentral:rRNA from 1 species